AAUGUACAACAUAAAUAGUCCAUGGGUUCAUUAUAAAAACGUGUUCAUGAUAUACUUUUUCAGUGUCCUUUGUGUUCUUUUAUGAAAUGUUUAUUCCUAUUCUAUCAAGUAGGUGCUAAUGCAUAAUACUCGCACUAUACACAGACCAUCUUGAUAAAUAAUCAUGUGUAUGCUCCAGUGGUUCUGUGCAUAAAUGCUCCUAUAUCUAAGUUACUACAGCCCUAGGCCCUGAAUGGAUCAAAUUUGUAAAUACAGCACUAUAUUUCUUACCUCUGUUGAAGUGUAUUAUGGUAGCAGUACUGGCAUUUAUCUAGACUGUUGAUAUAGAGGUUUCUAGCCACACAAGCAAUGCAUAUUACAUUAAGAAAUUCUAUAAUAAACUGCUUGAAAUAUUACCAGAGAUAGAGGAUUUUGCAAAACCUCAAGUGAGCCCUGAGGCCAACAAGAUUCCUGCUGAGUACAUACUGCUUUGGAUCAGGUCCUUGGAGACUACUACAUCUAAAAUAACAAGUUUAAAAAUAACAAGUUUAAAGAAUUUAAUUGCGAUUUCUUCAAUGUCAUUAUAUUGGUCUGAAAACUGGGUGCUUUACUUCAAUGAAAGUUCUCCUAGCAGUACAGAGAAGCUUUUUGUUAAGGUUUAACUACUUCCAAGAAUUUGGAAAGAUUUAUACAAAAUGAGGAAUAGCUUUCAGUUGUACAAAUGUACUUAAUAUAAUUAUGAGCAUGCAAAUAGGAUACAAAGGCUUUCAUACUUCAGCCUGGUAGGAGUGGCUUGAGUUUCUUCUGUAGGAAACUUGACUGAGAGAUCUUUGCUUCCAAAAUCUGCUUGGAGCUUCACUUUUAGCUAGGGCUUUAGCUCAGGUCCAGGGAUGAGACCAGUGAUGCUGCAUCUGAGCUGAAAGUGCUCUGAAGUGGUCAGUAUGCUCCGGCUCAAAUAUCGGAAGUAUUGCAGUAUCUUGAGACUGUGUUAAGGAAAAGGGAUGUAAGAUAUAAAGGAUAAGGGGAAAUUCUUCUCCUCCUAUUGGACAAGCACCCAAGUUACCAGACUUUAUGCCUAACUUUGCUGUGAUUUCUCAUGUGACCUUUUACAGGCUACACAGAGUCUGACCAAUGCCCAAGGAUAUCACAGAAUGAUUCCCACUGGCUUCAACGGUUCACACAAGAUCGGAAGAGAUACCGGUUAAUGAACAACUGCCACUCACUGUCAGCAGUGUGCUACAAAUGAAAGGCAUUUUCAGAAGCCAGAGGAAGGAGAUAAUAUUAUGGGGACAAGGAGCCAUCUACGGUCAGAGAAAACACUGGGAGGAAACCGCAGUCUUCCCUGAUCAAGGCCCUUUUCAGAACUUGAGCACACCCAUCUCUGCAUGGCACUCACUUGCACUACAGGUCCAAGAUUAUAAAGUGUUUUUACAAGGAUUCUUCAUAUAUGCAGUGUGAAUACCCCUGGGACACGUGGAGAUCUGGAAUACUGUGGAGUAGACUGCGCAACCGUUCAGCGUGGUAAACUGAAAACUUCUCUUGCAUUUGGCAGCCCACAACCCAUCCUUGCAUUUAGGUACUGGUCCUUAUUUCUCCCCUCUGAGCAGGUGUGAAACCUCCAAGGGAGAACAAGAACUGGAAACCAAGGCCAGGCAGAGCUCCACCAAGAUGGUACUGGCUGGUGGGAGCAGCUGCUGCACGAGGUGCGACUGCAGUCUGUGCAAGCAGCGCUACAGCUUCAUGCACCCAGAUCGCAUACACACACGAGACCUCUGAAAGACUUGGUGUCUGCAGUCCCGGCUGCCUCCGUACAACUGGAAGAGCGGUCUUGAACAAGAACGUAGACCUAAACGGUGGACCUAAAGAGGUGGACCUACCUCCUAGGGCUAGAAAAUUCACACUGACUAGUCUAGUCCGGGGGCUUUGAACCUACAAAGGAGUCACAGUUCAAAGCUUGAUUUGUGUCCAGAUGGACUUCUAAGAGGAUAAACUUGGUUUUUGCAAUUUGGGUCCCUGUUCCCAAGAAUGCUAAAGUGUUGUCUUCUACCCAGACACAGCCCUUUAUUGUCAGGUUGGAUGUGACAAGUUGCGAAGUUAAGGCCCAAUAAGUAAUUAAGGCAGUUUGCCAAGCAAAAUGAAGAAAAAAAUACAUAUUCACUGCUUUUCAUAGAGCUUUGAUUUAACUGGUUAAGAAUGUUCCUCUGUUUUAUAUAGUGUUGAGCAAAUCAUUCAUAAUAAUUGAUAUAUUAAACUCAUUUAAACAUUUUUGCUCUUUGUGAACUGUACAUGGUAGAUAUAAAAGUAUAUCUUUCAAAAAAGGUAUUGGUGCUUGAAAGCAGAUUACCAGAUAUUGUGUCUGCAUCUUAUAGAUACAUAUAAGCAACUAAUACUGUAAACUGAGAAAGUCUAAUAUUACCUUUGCAUAUAGUACUUGAAAAGCAUUUGAAAAGUAACUUUAAAGAAAAUAUUUAUAGUUAAAAUUAGUGUGUUAGCAAUAUUUUGUGCAACUGAAGCUUCAAGUGCUUGAAGAAAGUCAUUGUGAAGGACUCAAGCUCAAAUAAAAAAUCAUUAUUUCUUAAUAGUCCAGUAAAAUUAUUACUAUCACUAGGUCUGUUUUAAUUAACAGAUUCGUAGCUUUUUAGGAUAGACAAGA